GAUCAUGGCUCAGGACGAACGCUGGCGGCGUGCCUAAUACAUGCAAGUAGAACGCUGAAAGAGGAGCUUGCUUCUCCGGAUGAGUUGCGAACGGGUGAGUAACGCGUAGGUAACCUGCCUGGUAGCGGGGGAUAACUAUUGGAAACGAUAGCUAAUACCGCAUAAGAGUAGAUGUUGCAUGACAUUUGCUUAAAAGGUGCAAUUGCAUCACUACCAGAUGGACCUGCGUUG
rnacentral:rRNA from 1 species